CUAAACCCUAAUUAACUCCUCUUUACCCAACUGCUGAAAAAAUCCCCUUUCUCCCAGAUCUACUCUCAAACAUCAAUGGAGUUGCAGACUUGUUCGUUCAUAACAAUGAAAUUUGCAUCUUCUACCAUGUGGUUGCUAUCUGUUAGGAGGUCUUGCACAAGCGUUUAACCGUAGACGAGAAACCUCCUUCACAUAACGACACUCUUUAAUCUGUAAGUUUAAACCUAACACUCUUAAGAUUUUUUUUAAAAUCUCACUAAUUACUUAAUGUAAUAUUUGGGUAUAUUUUCAUCAAGUUGGGGUUAUAUUUUGUGCAUUUAGAUAAUUAGAAUUGGGGUUGUAAUGUAGUAUUUUCUUGAAAUUUUGGAAGAAUAUUGCUUUGCUGAUUUCAGAUACAAGAUCAUUGAGGUGCCCUUCUUUUUUGAGAUAAUUUGUAACGAAAAGUGGAUUAUGUUUUGUUGUGUUGCUUAUUUCUCCUGUUUUUGCUUUGUUUUUCUCCUAACUGAGGUUGUAUGAAGUCUUGGAAACCCGACCCUUGGUUAGUUACUCCUAGUCGCUUCACAGGUACAAUAAUGCAUGUCUGCAUCUUCUAAACAACUUGCUCUAUGUCCUGGUGUGAAUAAACUUACAAUUGGAGUGCUGCUCCAUGUUCUGUAUGUUAGGCUCUUUUUAUCCAAAGGCACCUUCAACCAUUUGUGGCUCCAGUCUCAAAUCAAAACCUUGGGCUGGUAUGUUUCAUGCUCGCUUGAUUCACUCUUAGGCAACUUCUAUUUGAAGAUUAAUUGAGCUAGGAUAUAGACUUUACCGAUUUUAUGUGAUACAACUGCAUAAUUGCAGCUGUGUUCCAAGAUUCGAUCUUCUACUUACAAUAAAUAAAAUAUCUUGACAUAUUUAACAAUGUCCAUUAGCUGGAUUAGUUGUUGGUUAGGAAUCAGGCAUAAAAUGCAAUACAUCAACGAGAGUACCCUGGUGGUUUUGAUGACCUAGCUUCUCAUCUUAUAUCCCUUAUCUUAACGUGUUUCCUACUUCUGCGAUCAUAGUUAGACUUAUCUCGUCCCUUGAUCUGACAUGACAUGAGUGGUUCUUUAUGUUCAUUAGUAGAAUUUGUUUGUUAUCCUUUGGUUGAGGCUUUAUGUUCCUCUGGUGGUUUUCCAAGGGUAUGUAUGGUUGAAGAACAUUUUUUUAUUGUGGGUACUCUGAUUCUGAGUAAUUCGAGUUCAAUAUGCUGAUUAAGCUUCUCCCCAAAUUGCUAAUCAGUAUUUAACAGAAGAAGUGAUACACCUGAAACAGAAAAUAGACCCAAUAAUUUUUUUCUUUUCUUUGUUAUCUUAGUAAGUGUUUUGAAAGUUUACUUAUUGUCCAACUACGAUUUCUGGGUUGACUUGUUGUUUUCUUUUCUCUCCUACUUUUUGUUAUGCAUUUUUUUUUAUUGCCAAAAAAUGAAUUUACUACUAAUACUUCAACGGUGUUUGCAUAUAAUUAAUAGAUGACUACUAAGAUAUUGUAUCCACCUUUUAAUUUAAUGUAUUACUAUUUAAUUUAUAACAAGUCUAAACCUGCAGCAACAAUUCGACAUGUUCUUUUUUAAUGGUAAAGUGAGUUUUAGUAGGUUGUGCCCCUGAUUUGUCUUUGAAUUUGUCCCAAGGUGAGUAUUUCAUUCUUAUUGAUCGAUUGUUCAAAACCUAUACUACUCUGUUCAAGAUGUCUUGCUAUAUUUGUUAGUUAUUGUUCCCGUGAUAAUGCUAUUAAUCAGUUGUACUUAAAAAACACUACUACAAAAAAGGGCAUAGAGUACUGUUGAAAUACAGUUUAUAGGACGCCUUAGAGGCGUUCUCCAUCUCAGCGCGCUAUAAAGCUUAUAAAACGGGUAAAAGAAGCGUUUUAUAUACCUAGUCAUAAAGUACAGUGAUAAGAGAUAAGCGUCCUCUAUUCCCUUCCUAAAAUCAGGAAAUGAAGAAGGAAUAUAGAACGGUUAACGUACAUAAUCGUCUCCUAUACUCUAUAAUAAAGCGCGUCUUCCGUACAUAACCGUCUUCUUUUUUUCCUGUUAAAUAUUGAGAUACAGAACACCUUCUGUACAUAGGCGUACUAUAUACUUCUUGUUUAAUAUUAAAAUAGAAAGCAAUUUCCUUACACAACCGUUCUAUAUGCUACCCCUUUUUAAAAAAAUAUUAUUCAAAAAUAGCAGUUCACACAUCCCUAAAAUAGGAUAUUACGAUCCUAGCUCCGUAAACCAAAUCUAAAUAGAUAAAAUAAAAAUGAUAUCCACACAAUCUUUCCAAAAAUAAUUUCCUUCAAUAACAAAAUACUAUUGUUCAUACAAUAACAAAGUACUAUCAUUUAUUGACAAAAUGAUCCAUACAAGGUACAACAAAAAAAAUAACAUUUCGAUGUCAAUAAUAAAAAAUUAAAAAAAAUAAAAUAAAAAUCAAAGAGCCUAUGUAGCGGCAACAACAGGUGACUCUGCAGCAGCAGCAACCGGAGCUUCUGCAGCAACAAGGCAGUUCGUCUGCAGGAGUAAACUGAGGUAACAGGACAGUUCGUCUACAGGAGUGAACUGAGGAGAAGGCACAAGUCCAGACAAAACAACAGCAACAGACUUGCAGGGAGGUGCGUGCAGACAGACAGGCUAGCCGUUUGGAAUUCUGGUAAGUACCAAUAAGGGAAUAACUGAAAAUGAAGGUGGUGAAGUACUCCGUAGUUGGAUUCUCACGAGUCAAGAAGGCCUUUGUAUGGGGAACCUUAAGUAAUCUAGCUGACUAUUUAGUUUCCACAUUCAUUGAUUGUAGAUAUAAUGUCACUUACUAGCAGUUUCUGCACACUAGAGUGGAAGCAGUUUCCUAGCCUUGGUCUUUAGCUUGAGAUCGAGGAAAUACUAGCACUCUGCUUUCCCCUGGGUGCUUAUUGUAGAUAUAAUGUCACUUACUAGCAGGGUUUUUUUUAUAAGUAUAGUGUAACUAAAUGUUUUCGGGAAUGUAAGAGACGGUGACAAACCUGUAAGAAAUGACAGACAAGCUAAUGUAGAUGUGAAGUCAUACAGUUAUUCAA